rnacentral:rRNA from 1 species
UCACUUAGUUUCGGGGUGUCAAACUACAGCUCCCUUUGCUUGACUAAUUCUAGCUAAAACAUGAUGCAAAAGGUACAAGGGUGUAUCUCUGCUUCUUUGUGCUUUACUGGGUUAUUUCAUUUCUUUUUCAGCUUUCCCUUGCGGUACUUUUUCUAUCGCUUCUACUUCUUUUUCUAUCGCCUAUACUAAAGAGGAAAAAUGAUUUAGUUGUUAAACAUAGUGCCUUAGGGGGUAUAAAUAAUCAAAGGUUGAUUUUACUAGGCGAGCUAGCUGUUGGGCA